GGAACUGUGCCUGAAACAAAGGACCACUUUGAUGUAGUGAAUAAUAAGGGUUAAAGUCCCUUCAGUUCCU
rnacentral:tRNA from 2 species